rnacentral:rRNA from 1 species
UUAGAGUUUGAUCAUGGCUCAGGAUAAACGCUGGCGGCGCACAUAAGACAUGCAAGUCGAACGAACUUAACCUAUAGUUUACUAUUGGAGCGGUUAGUGGCGGACUGGUGAGUAACGCGUAAGCAAUCUGCCUAUCAGAGGGGAAUAACAGUGAGAAAUCACUGCUAAUACCGCAUAAGCUGUGAGUAUCGCAUGAUACAAGCAGAAAAGGAGCAAUCCGCUGAUAGAUGAGCUUGCGUCUGAUUAGUUAGUUGGCGAGGUAACGGCCCACCAAGACGAUGAUCAGUAGCCGGACUGAGAGGUUGAACGGCCACAUUGGGACUGAGAUACGGCCCAGACUCCUACGGGAGGCAGCAGUCGGGAAUAUUGCGCAAUGGAGGAAACUCUGACGCAGUGACGCCGCGUGCAGGAAGAAGGUUUUCGGAUUGUAAACUGCUUUAGACAGGGAAGAAGAAGUGACAGUACCUGUAGAAUAAGCUCCGGCUAACUACGUGCCAGCAGCCGCGGUAAUACGUAGGGAGCGAGCGUUAUCCGGAUUUAUUGGGUGUAAAGGGUGCGUAGAUGGAUAUGCAAGUUGGUUGUGAAAUACCUCGGCUUAACUGAGGAACUGCAACCAAAACUGUAAAUCUUGAGUACUGGAGGGGAAAGCGGAAUUCCUAGUGUAGCGGUGAAAUGCGUAGAUAUUAGGAAGAACACCGGUGGCGAAGGCGGCUUUCUGGACAGAAACUGACAUUGAGGCACGAAAGUGUGGGGAGCAAACAGGAUUAGAUACCCUGGUAGUCCACACCGUAAACGAUGGAUACUAGGUGUAGGUGAUGAUAAGUCAUCUGUGCCGUCGCAAACGCAGUAAGUAUCCCACCUGGGGAGU